UGGGGAAUAUUGCGCAAUGGGCGGAAGCCUGACGCAGCGACGCCGCGUGGGGGAUGAAGGCCUUCGGGUUGUAAACCUCUUUCACCACCGACGAAGCUAACGUGACGGUAGGUGGGGAAGAAGCGCCGGCUAACUACGUGCCAGCAGCCGCGGUAAUACGUAGGGCGCAAGCGUUGUCCGGAAUUAUUGGGCGUAAAGAGCUCGUAGGUGGUUUGUCGCGUCUGCCGUGAAAACCCGAGGCUUAACCUCGUGGCUUGCGGUGGAUACGGGCAGACUAGAGGUAGGUAGGGGAGAAUGGAAUUCCCGGUGUAGCGGUGAAAUGCGCAGAUAUCGGGAGGAACACCGGUGGCGAAGGCGGUUCUCUGGGCCUUACCUGACGCUGAGGAGCGAAAGCGUGGGGAGCGAACAGG
rnacentral:rRNA from 1 species